rnacentral:rRNA from 1 species
AUACGUAGGUGACAAGCGUUAUCCGGAUUUACUGGGCGUAAAGGGCGUGUAGGCGGUCUUGCAGGUCAGAAGUGAAAUUCCUGAGCUCAACUCGGGCGCUGCUUCUGAAACUGCAGGACUUGAGUGCUGGAGGGGAUAGCGGAAUUCCUAGUGGAGCGGUAAAAUGCGCAGAUAUUAGGAAGAACACCGGUGGCGAAGGCGGCUAUCUGGACAGUAACUGACGCUGAGGCGCGAAAGCGUGGGGAGCAAACAGGAUUAGAUACCCUGGUAGUCCACGCGGUAAACGAUGAAUGCUAGGUGUUGCGGGUAUCGACCCCUGCAGUGCCGGAGUCAACACAAUAAGCAUUCCGCCUGGGGAGUACGGCCGCAAGGUUGAAACUCAAAUGAAUUGACGGGG